rnacentral:lncRNA from 1 species
CAUUGAACAUGCCCUGGGAUCAGAACCACCCACAAGUUUCAUUGCUACCAUCAAUGAAGGGAUGACUUGGGCAGCCCUGGUGGCCCAGUGGUUUAGUGCUGCCUUCAGCCCAGGGUGUGAUCCUAGAGACCAGGGAUCAAGUCCCACGUCAGGCUCCCUGCAUGGAGCCUGCUUCUCCCUCUGCCUCUCUCUCUCUCUCUCAUGAAUAAAUAAGUAAAAAUCUUUAAAAACAAAUUAAGGGAUGACUUGAGUCCAGCUCCUUUACUUUCUCAACAGUUUGCUCAUCCACAAAAUGGGGGAAAUGUAUUACUUGUAGAGUUUCUGAGAAGAUGAAAUGACAUAUAAGUGGUUCUCAGUGCAGUGGAACCUAGAGGCAUUUGAUGACACCAAGCGGCCUCUAUCCUGUGCCAGGAACUAGCAAUGCGGAGAUGAAUAAACAACAGCAGAGCCUCUGACAGCAAAGAACUCUCCCAAAUCGAGCUGUUGUAGAGAUUAAAUAAGACAGUGUCUGUAAAGCUCUCUUAAGGCAGGCAAUGAGCACAAUUCCCACAGAAGCUACAACGAAAGCCGGAGGCACUGGCUUCAGUAGAAAUUUUGUUGGAGUAACACGGUUCUGCCAAGUCAUUUUUGAUCAAAGACUUUUCCAUGGCUCCAGCUGCUCAUACAGUGUGCAGUCCUUCUACUGUGUUUCUCCCUUACCUAAAUGUGUAUCUUCAAGCCUGCAUUUCCAAAGGAUUACUUUUGCGUUUAAUUCCUGGCUUAAUGACUGUGUGUUCCCACAGGAUCAAAUACCAUCAUCCAGAGUUAAACUUAGGAGGGAUGUAGAUAUUUUCCCCAUGGCAAGUUUAUUCCAGACAUUCUACUGGGCACUUGGGGGAUACCCAGAAGCAGAGCUGAAUCCUAUCAUUCCAGCAGCAGCUGUAUGUCAGCUCAUUCAACAAAUGGUCAGUGAUUAUUUGCAACUGUAAAUAUUAAUGAGGGAAGACCCUUUUAACAAAAAAGAAAUAGAACUGUUACAUAU